AGAGAAAGCGUGAAGCUGCCAGCAUGAUCUAUCUGACUUGUGGUGGCAAGUGCCACAGCAAAUUCAGCAACGCCGUGGCUUCGGGGCCGGC